UAGGAUUAAAGGCUUGCACCUCCAUGCCUAGUUUCUAACUUACAUUUCUUUCACCAAUUUAGUAACUGCUUAUUGAGGCCAGGAGCUGGCUGCCAGGGAUAUGGCAGUGACCAAGACAAGCUGCUGCUUCCUGUGCCCAGAAAGCUUACAUUCCAGGGUGAGAAACAGAUGGAACCAGAAGAGCCAUGAGAUACAGUGAUCAAAGAUGAGCAGAACUGUGGGGCGUGACGCUCCUCAUUUUAAAGGCAAGUCUGUCUCCUCUGCGGCUGGCAGCUCCCCUCCUCUGCUGCCCUCUGCCCUUCCUAGCUUGCCCGUUCCUUCUCUCUUCCUAGUUCCCUGCCCUAUAUUCACUACUCACAUCCAGAAUUCCCCACUUGCAGCCCCUGCCCCAGAGCAUCCAAACUCGAACUCUUUGUUUUUAUCCCACGUACUGGACACAUUCUGGGCAGCAGCUGGAAGGAGGCUGCAUGAUCUACUUCCUAGAGCAAGUAGGCACAGGCUGUUGAGGUUCCCAGCUGAGGUUGGCUUUGUGAGAAUGGGGUAUCUGGCAUCCUCAGGGAACGCAACAGUAGUAUCCCCACUCUAGGUCAGGACUUACAGAUCUUGAGACUUGCCUGAAAGAGGUAGGAAGCCAGUAAAGGGGGACAAGGAAAGGAGACCUGGGGCUUCCCUGGGUUUGCUCCACAAUAAUAGGUCUCUGAAGGGUGAAGCUGAGCCAUAGGACAUGAAGCCAGAGUUUCCCAGAGCAGCCUUAUCUCUGCCAUGUGCUGGCCUGAUGAUCAUGGACAGCAUCUCCUUUUGUUGCCUUUCUGGGCCUCAGUUUUCCCAUCUGACCAUUGGGGACUGUAGCAAUACCCACCACACAGACUAGUACACCUAACACAUGACAGCAGUCGUGUAGGGAAGCUUUCCAAGGCCUCUGCUGUGCAGGCCAUAGCAAGGUCCUGUCUAGGAAAUUCUCUAGACAGUAUGUCUCCAUCUGGGUCCUUCUAGGCCUUGAGCCCCAGAGGUAGUGAAUUAUUCAUGCUCUGGCCACUGCCAGCAGCGAAGGCUCAGGAGGCCUCCAAGAGACCAGAGUUUUGGUGACAGCAAUCCUCUUGGAGGACAGCCAGACCAUUCCAGAGGAACACCAGGAAAUAGCCUGUCUCAAGGGUGCCACCCUCCUGCACCCACUGUCCACAUCUCUGGUCACUGAAGUCUCAUUCUCCAGACUGCAGCGUCUUGGAUACCCAUGCUUCAGCUCAGGUGGCAAAGUCUGUGAGGAAGGGCAGCGUACCAGCCAUGCCUUUGAUCAGCUGAGCCGAGUGCUCAGCACAGCAGUGCUUGAAGCCUGAGUAUAGGAGCUUCCUGGAUGUGCCUGCCCUGGAGGGUGCAGCACUGAGAACAAGUGGGUCAGGUGGCUGGCAUCUCUUGCUGAGAAGAAACAGAAUCUCAGGCUGUCUACUCAUGCGAGCCUUCUGCCCAGCACCCUCACCUCAGAACACACACGUCUCCGGUCUGGGGCCCAGUCUUUUGAGCUAGGUUACUGAGCUGGGACAUUGAAGACAGGGGUAAGGAACAGUGCGCCGAGAGGAUAAAGGAUCCUGGUGUUUCACACUAGACGUGGACAGCUGGGGGCCUAAGGCACAGAGCACCAAAGCAUGCUCCUCGGGUGAACGAACACCUAGAGCCUUGCUGGGACCUCCUGACUCCGCCCCCGGAGCGGCGGGUUAUUUGCAUGGCUCCGCCUCAGAGCUGCCAUUGGCUACGGCGGCGGGAGGCCGGGCCUGAGUGGCUGCGCCGCCGGGGAGGCGGGGGCGGGGCAGGCGCCGAGUGUUGGAGAUGCUGCCACUGCUGCUGCUUCUGCUGCUGCUGCUGCGGGACGGGUUCGGGUCCGAGUCUGGCUUGGCGGGCACGGGGCGUGGGACGGCCCAGGGCGCGGUGGCAGCAGCAGGAGCACACUGAGAACCAUGUCCAGGAAGAAGACCCCAAAGAGCAAGGCGGGGAGUGUGCCUGCUGCCUCGACGCUGCCCACCGCCGCCAAUCGGCCCCGUCUGUCAGGUCCCAGGACUGCGCGUCCUGGCCCGGAGGCGCUACCCAACGGGCCCCCACAGUCCGGCCGGCCCUCACUUGGUGGCACUGGAGACUUCUACGACGUUGCUUUCAAGGUCAUGCUGGUGGGGGAUUCCGGUGUGGGGAAGACCUGCCUGCUGGUGCGUUUCAAGGAUGGAGCUUUCUUGGCUGGUACCUUCAUCUCCACUGUGGGCAUCGACUUCCGGAACAAAGUCCUGGACGUGGAUGGCAUGAAGGUGAAGCUGCAGAUCUGGGACACAGCUGGUCAGGAGCGGUUCCGAAGCGUCACCCAUGCCUACUACCGGGACGCUCAUGCACUGUUGCUGCUCUAUGACAUCACCAACAAAGACUCCUUCGACAACAUCCAGGCCUGGUUGACAGAGAUCCAGGAAUAUGCCCAGCAGGACGUGGUGCUCAUGCUGCUGGGAAACAAGGUUGAUUCUGCCCAAGAACGCGUGGUAAAGAGGGAAGAUGGGGAGAAAUUGGCCAAGGAGUAUGGGCUGCCUUUCAUGGAAACCAGCGCAAAGACCGGCCUCAACGUCGACUUGGCUUUCACGGCCAUAGCAAAG